GUAUGGUGCAAGCGUUAUCCGGAUUUACUGGGUGUAAAGGGAGCGCAGGCGGUGCGGCAAGUCUGAUGUGAAAGCCCGGGGCUCAACCCUGGUACUGCAUUGGAAACUGUCGUACUAGAGUGUCGGAGGGGUAAGCGGAAUUCCUAGUGUAGCGGUGAAAUGCGUAGAUAUUAGGAGGAACACCAGUGGCGAAGGCGGCUUACUGGACGAUAACUGACGUUGAGGCUCGAAAGCGUGGGGAGCAAACAGGAUUAGAUACCCUAGUAGUCCACGCCGUAAACGAUGAGAACUAGGUGUUGGGGGAAUAACUCAGUGCCGCAGUUAACGCAAUAAGUUCUCCGCCUGGGGAGU
rnacentral:rRNA from 1 species